GAUGAGCGCUAGCUACAGGCUUAACACAUGCAAGUCGAGGGGUAACGAGAGGAAAGCUUGCUUUCCUUGUCGACGACCGGCGCACGGGCGAGUGACGCGUAUCCAACCUGCCCCCAACUAGGGAAUAACCUUGCGAAAGUAAGACUAAUACCCUAUAAUUUCCUCAGAUGCCAUCUGACGAGGAAUAAAGAUUUAUCGGUUGUGGAUGGGGAUGCGUCUGAUUAGCUUGUUGGCGGGUAACGGCCCACCAAGGCAACGAUCAGUAGGGGUUCUGAGAGGAAGGUCCCCCACAUUGGAACUGAGACACGGUCCAAACUCCUACGGGAGGCAGCAGUGAGGAAUAUUGGUCAAUGGGCGGAAGCCUGAACCAGCCAAGUAGCGUGCAGGAUGACGGCCCUAUGGGUUGUAAACUGCUUUUAUACAGGAAUAAAGUUAGCCACGUGUGGUUAUUUGUAGGUACUGUAUGAAUAAGGACCGGCUAAUUCCGUGCCAGCCGCCGCCGUAA
rnacentral:rRNA from 1 species